rnacentral:rRNA from 1 species
UAUGGCGACCGGCGCACGGGUGAGUAACACGUAUCCAACCUGCCGAUGACUCGGGGAUAGCCUUUCGAAAGAAAGAUUAAUACCCGAUGGCAUAGUUCUUCUGCAUGGUAGAACUAUUAAAGAAUUUCGGUCAUCGAUGGGGAUGCGUUCCAUUAGGUUGUUGGCGGGGUAACGGCCCACCAAGCCUUCGAUGGAUAGGGGUUCUGAGAGGAAGGUCCCCCACAUUGGAACUGAGACACGGUCCAA